rnacentral:rRNA from 1 species
UCAGGAUGAACGCUAGCGGCAGGCUCAACACAUGCAAGUCGAGGGGCAACGCGAGUAGCAAUACUUGGCGGCGACCGGCGCAAGGGUGCGUAACGCGUGAGCAACAUGCCCGUAUCAGGGGGAUAAUCCAGGGAAACUUGGUCUAAUACCCCAUAGUAAUUUUGUAAGGCAUCUUAUAAGAUUUAAAGCUUUGGUGGAUACGGAUUGGCUCGCGUGACAUUAGCUGGAUGGUAAGGUAACGGCUUACCAUGGCUAUGAUGUCUAGGGGUUCUGAGAGGAAGGUCCCCACACUGGAACUGAGACACGGUCCAGACUCCUACGGGAGGCAGCAGUGGGGAAUAUUGGACAAUGGAUGGAAAUCUGAUCCAGCCAUGCCGCGUGAAAAGGAAGAAGGUCCUAUGGAUUGUAAACUUCUUUUGUAUGGGAGCAAUAAGGCCUACGUGUAGGUUGAUGAGAGUACCAUACGAAUAAGCACCGGCUAACUCCGUGCCAGCCGCUGC